AUAACGGGGGGGAAAA
rnacentral:rRNA from 1 species